rnacentral:rRNA from 1 species
CCUACGGGAGGCAGCAGUGGGGAAUUUUGGACAAUGGGCGAAAGCCUGAUCCAGCAAUGCCGCGUGAGUGAAGAAGGCCUUCGGGUUGUAAAGCUCUUUUGUCAGGGAAGAAACGGUGUGGGCUAAUAUCCCGCACUAAUGACGGUACCUGAAGAAUAAGCACCGGCUAACUACGUGCCAGCAGCCGCGGUAAUACGUAGGGUGCAAGCGUUAAUCGGAAUUACUGGGCGUAAAGCGUGCGCAGGCGGUUUUGUAAGUCUGUCGUGAAAGCCCCGGGCUCAACCUGGGAAUUGCGAUGGAGACUGCAAGGCUUGAAUCUGGCAGAGGGGGGUAGAAUUCCACGUGUAGCAGUGAAAUGCGUAGAGAUGUGGAGGAACACCGAUGGCGAAGGCAGCCCCCUGGGUCAAGAUUGACGCUCAUGCACGAAAGCGUGGGGAGCAAACAGGAUUAGAUACCCUGGUAGUCCACGCCCUAAACGAUGUCUACUAGUUGUCGGGUUUUAAUUAACUUGGUAACGCAGCUAACGCGUGAAGUAGACCGCCUGGGGAGUACGGUCGCAAGAUUAAAACNCAAAUGAAAUUGACGG